CGCCGCCACGGGAAUACGUAGGUGGCAAGCGUUGUCCGGAAUUAUUGGGCGUAAAGGGCUCGCAGGCGGUUUCUUAAGUCUGAUGUGAAAGCCCCCGGCUCAACCGGGGAGGGUCAUUGGAAACUGGGAAGCUUGAGUGCAGAAGAGGAGAGUGGAAUUCCACGUGUAGCGGUGAAAUGCGUAGAGAUGUGGAGGAACACCAAUGGCGAAGGCGACUCUCUGGUCUGUAACUGACGCUGAGGAGCGAAAGCGUGGGGAGCGAACAGGAUUAGAUACCCCUGUAGUCCCUGUCUCUUAUACA
rnacentral:rRNA from 1 species